GAUUAACGCUGGCGGCGUGCAUAACACAUGCAAGUCGAACGAAGUGGCGGACGGUUGAGUAACGCGUGCGUAACCUGCCUUAGGGGAGGGGAUAGCCUUUGGAAACGAAGAAUCAUACCCUAUUCUCUAAGAUGGACUUGCGUCUGAUUAGUUAGUUGGUGGGGUAACGGCCCACCAAGACAGCGAUCAGUAGCCGGCUUGAGAGAGGGUACGGCCACAUUCGGACUGAGACAAGGGCCAGACUCGACGGGAGGCAGCAGUGGGGAAUUUUGCACAAUGGGGGAAAACCUGAUGCAGCGACGCCGCGUGAUUUAGAAUGCCUUCGGGUUGUAAAAAUCUUUUCUAUGGGAAGCAGUACCAUAGGAAUAAGGACCGGCUAACUACGUGCCAGCAGCCGCGGUAAUUC
rnacentral:rRNA from 1 species